GCUGGCGACUAUAGCAAGAGUGAACCACCUGAUCCCUUCCCGAACUCAGAAGUGAAACCUCUUUGCGCUGAUGGUAGUGUGGGAUUACCCAUGUGAGAGUAAGUCAUCGCCAGCAUCUUAUUC
rnacentral:rRNA from 1 species